CCACGCACUCCUACGGGAGGCAGCAGUGGGGAAUAUUGCACAAUGGGCGCAAGCCUGAUGCAGCCAUGCCGCGUGUAUGAAGAAGGCCUUCGGGUUGUAAAGUACUUUCAGCAGUGAGGAAGGUGGAUAUGUUAAUAGCAUAUUCAUUUGACGUUAGCUGCAGAAGAAGCACCGGCUAACUCCGUGCCAGCAGCCGCGGUAAUACGGAGGGUGCGAGCGUUAAUCGGAAUUACUGGGCGUAAAGCGCAUGCAGGUGGUUUGUUAAGUCAGAUGUGAAAGCCCGGGGCUCAACCUCGGAAUUGCAUUUGAAACUGGCAAACUAGAGUACUGUAGAGGGGGUAGAAUUUCAGGUGUAGCGGUGAAAUGCGUAGAGAUCUGAAGGAAUACCGGUGGCGAAGGCGGCCCCCUGGACAGAUACUGACACUCAGAUGCGAAAGCGUGGGGAGCAAACAGGAUUAGAUACCCUGGUAG
rnacentral:rRNA from 1 species